rnacentral:rRNA from 1 species
UUGAACGCUGGCGGCAUGCUUUACACAUGCAAGUCGAACGGUAACAGGCCUUCGGGUGCUGACGAGUGGCGAACGGGUGAGUAAUGCAUCGGAACGUACCCAGAGGUGGGGGAUAACGCAGCGAAAGCUGUGCUAAUACCGCAUGUGAUCUGAGGAUGAAAGCGGGGGACCGAGCAGCAAUGUUUGGCCUCGCGCCUUUGGAGCGGCCGAUGUCGGAUUAGCUAGUUGGUGGGGUAAAGGCCUACCAAGGCGACGAUCCGUAGCUGGUCUGAGAGGACGACCAGCCACACUGGGACUGAGACACGGCCCAGACUCCUACGGGAGGCAGCAGUGGGGAAUUUUGGACAAUGGGCGCAAGCCUGAUCCAGCAAUGCCGCGUGCGGGAAGAAGGCCUUCGGGUUGUAAACCGCUUUUGGCAGGAACGAAACGGUGUCCGCUAAUACCGGGCGCUAAUGACGGUACCGGCAGAAUAAGCACCGGCUAACUACGU